GACGAACGCUGGCGGCGUGCCUAAUACAUGCAAGUAGGACGCAGUUGCGAACGGGUGAGUAACGCGUAGGUAACUACCUAUUAGAGGGGGAUAACUAUUGGAAACGAUAGCUAAUACCGCAUACUAGUAGAUGGAACUGCGUUGUAUUAGCUAGUAGGUCGGGUAAUGGCCUACCUAGGCAACGAGACAUAGCCGAACCGAGAGGGUGAUCGGCCACACGGGGACUGAGGAACGGCCCAGAAUCCCUCGGGAGGCAGCAGUAGGGAAUCGUCGGGAAUGGGGGGAAACCUUACCGAGCAACGCCGCGUUAGUGAAGAAGGUUUUCGGAUCGGAAAGCUCUGUUGUGAAGGAAGCGGUACUUAACCAGAAAGGGCCGGCUAACUACGUGCCAGCAGCCGCGGUAAUAC
rnacentral:rRNA from 1 species